rnacentral:rRNA from 1 species
UACGGAGGGUGCAAACGUUGCUCGGAGUUAUUGGGCGUAAAGCGCACGUAGGCGGUCGGCUAUGUCGGAUGUGAAAGCCUCGGGCUUAACCCGAGAAGGGCAUCCGAAACUGGCCGGCUUGAGUACGGAAGAGGGUCUCGGAAUUCCCGGUGUAGAGGUGAAAUUCGUAGAUAUCGGGAGGAACACCAGUGGCGAAGGCGGAGACCUGGGCCGAUACUGACGCUGAGGUGCGAAAGCGUGGGGAGCAAACAGG